GACGAACGCUGGCGGCGUGCCUAAUACAUGCCAGUUGAGCGCUGAAGGUUGGUACUUGUACCAACUGGAUGAGCAGCGAACGGGUGAGUAACGCGUGGGGAAUCUGCCUUUGAGCGGGGGACAACAUUUGGAAACGAAUGCUAAUACCGCAUAAAAACUUUAAACACAAGUUUUAAGUUUGAAAGAUGCAAUUGCAUCACUCAAAGAUGAUCCCGCGUUGUAUUAGCUAGUUGGUGAGGUAAAGGCUCACCAAGGCGAUGAUACAUAGCCGACCUGAGAGGGUGAUCGGCCACAUUGGGACUGAGACACGGCCCAAACUCCUACGGGAGGCAGCAGUAGGGAAUCUUCGGCAAUGGACGAAAGUCUGACCGAGCAACGCCGCGUGAGUGAAGAAGGUUUUCGGAUCGUAAAACUCUGUUGGUAGAGAAGAACGUUGGUGAGAGUGGAAAGCUCAUCAAGUGACGGUAACUACCUAGAAAGGGACGGCUAACUACGUG
rnacentral:rRNA from 1 species